CCACGAGCGUUGAAAAGCUCGGGGAUGACUUGUGGGUAGCGGUGAAAUUCCAAUCGAGCCCGGAGAUAGCUGGUUCUCCCCGAAAUAGCUUUAGGGCUAGCCUCAAGGUGAGAGAUACGGAGGUAGAGCACUGAAUGUCCUAGGGGGUAUUGCACCUACCGAAGACUAUCAAACUCCGAAUGCCGUCAUCUUAUACUUGGGAGUCAGACUGUGGGUGAUAAGAUUCAUAGUCGAAAGGGCAACAGCC
rnacentral:rRNA from 1 species